rnacentral:rRNA from 1 species
UCCAGACUCCUACGGGAGGCAGCAGUGAGGAAUAUUGGUCAAUGGACGAGAGUCUGAACCAGCCAAGUAGCGUGAAGGAUGACUGCCCUAUGGGUUGUAAACUUCUUUUAUAAAGGAAUAAAACGAGGCACGUGUGCCUUUUUGCAUGUACUUUAUGAAUAAGGAUCGGCUAACUCCGUGCCAGCAGCCGCGGUAAUACGGAGGAUCCGAGCGUUAUCCGGAUUUAUUGGGUUUAAAGGGAGCGUAGAUGGGUUGUUAAGUCAGUUGUGAAAGUUUGCGGCUCAACCGUAAAAUUGCAAUUGAUACUGGCAGUCUUGAGUACAGUUGAGGUAGGCGGAAUUCGUGGUGUAGCGGUGAAAUGCUUAGAUAUCAUGAAGAACUCCGAUCGCGAAGGCAAGUGUCCGGGGUGCAACUGACGCUGAGGCUCGAAAGUGCGGGUAUCAAACAGGAUUAGAUACCCGAGUAAC